rnacentral:rRNA from 1 species
UCCUAGGGGCGCAGCAGUGGGGAAUAUUGCACAAUGGGGGAAACCCUGAUGCAGCGACGCCGCGUGAGUGAAGAAGUAUCUCGGUACGUAAAGCUCUAUCAGCAGGAAAGAAACUGACGGUACCUGACUAAGAAGCCCCGGCUAACUACGUGCCAGCAGCCGCGGUAAUACGUAGGGGGCAAGCGUUAUCCGGAUUUACUGGGUGUAAAGGGAGCGUAGACGGCGCUGCAAGUCCGGAGUGAAA